CACCUCUUCUAUGAAAUCAAUAUACGUAGUCCCCCUUCUAGUCGCUAGGUGGCACCACAGCUUUAAAGCAGAGCCAAAAAACUGUGGAAUAACUUACCAUGGACGGUAUAUUCGCCAUCUAUGGUCUUAACCUCAUUCCUCUUUUUGUGCUUUGGUGGCACAUGUUCAUUUUUAUUCGGCGUCGGUGUUUUCAGCUUUUUUCAGCGUUUUUGGAAGUUAAAUGGAGAAGUACAAGUGAGAUUUACGUUAUUCCUUAUCGGAUGAAGAAAGAACCUACCUACGACGAAAGAUUAAAUCUUUCCAUCCGCGAUUACAUAAUCGCUAGUGGCGUGGUUCCCAUCAACGAGAUUUUCUUACAAUUGGGAGAAGAUUUCUUCAUCGUCCGGGUUCCGAUCGGAAUCCCCAGAACUCGAAAGACCCCCCAUCUUUCCCACUUAUACGACAGCAGUCGUAUGUAAGUGUUUCACAAUUGGAAGCAAUCCUUUUGUGAGGGGGUCGGCCAUACAUAUGGUUUUAUAUUUUUUCGACAUCGAAAAAAUAGAGUUUUCUGGCUCGUCCGGCUAUGGAUGAGGCGCCCGGGAUACUGGGACAUAAUGAACAAUUUUUUAUGGCUGUUGGAAUGCAUUUACUCCAUCGUAAGUAUAUUUUUUAGGCCAUUCAAUUAAUUCUGAUAUUGUUGAGCCCCUUGAGACGGAUUUAAAGCAAAAUAGCCUUUAAGCUAUGGGGUCGAUAGUCCCAACACAAAGUUGGAUGUGUCAUGACAUUUUGGCAAGUCAGAUUAAUACCUUUUUUGAAAUCCGGUGUGUCCGAAGAUUGUCUCAGUGACCUUUUGCGUUGAUAUCCUGUGCCGAAGAAUUGCCCGCUCAAUAACUCUCCUAAAUUGAAUGUGCAGAUGAAAUCUGCCAUCAACAAAGGUGGAAAGAAAAGGGAUGAGAGACUGACUGCAACAAGGGGUGCUUUGAUGGUGUUUGGUAGGGCGCUCUUGACCUUGCUUUUGAAACCGGUUAAGGAUGAGUAGUACUUACUUCUCAUCAAAAUGCUGAGUAAUGCAAUAUUGGUUUUAAGCAAAAUACACCAUUUAGGUUCAGUAUAUGGAAGUUCAGCCGCGUUAAGCCUUUCGCUGGUCUCAAAUGAAAUGCAGCCUUGUAUGAAGGAAGUGCUCGUUGAUGCUUGUUUGCACUCUUGUUUAUGUGGAGAAGAUUUGGCUGAUAGGCUCAAAUCAAUCAGAUUAGCUGCAGAUUAGUGGCCGAGUUAAAGUCAGGUGCAUCCGGAACAAGGCUUUUAUAGCAUACAAAUUUAAACUCGACCGUCCCACUUCGUUCCCGGAAGUUGCAAGGCUGAAGUGGGUGAAAGUCAUUGUACCCUCAAAAGAGGGAAUACAGGAAGGUUCGAGAGGAAAGGGGGUGGAGUUGUGUCCCCAGGAAAAAAUAAUCCGGAGGCAUCUAAUGAAGACGCGUUUACUGUUUUUUGGAGCGACAGUUUCUUCUAUGUUUUCCCCCCGUUUUGCUUGUUGCCACUUGUUUUACGAAAAAUCAAGGCUGAUUGAGCUACAGGGAUCGCAGUAAUCCCUUACGGGCACAGCCAGCAUUGACAAAUUACCUUCUUCUUUUGCCAGGAGAGGUCACCCUUUGUGGAAAUCCCUUACCCUGGCUGCAGGGAUUUUGUCAGGCAAGCAUUCCAGAAGAUUUGCUGGAUAUUUUUCUAUCAUCUGUUCAGAGGGCUACCUUGAGGCAUUUAAUACCUGCAUGCAUUUAAACUUUGGUGGAGCUUCUACGAAAGGAGGGGAGUGGAGUGUUAUUACUUCUCACCUAGGCUGUAUUAGAUUUCCUUACUAUUCAUUUUAGACAAG